rnacentral:rRNA from 1 species
AUUGAACGCUGGCGGCAUGCCUUACACAUGCAAGUCGAACGGCAGCGCGGGGCAACCUGGCGGCGAGUGGCGAACGGGUGAGUAAUAUAUCGGAACGUGCCCUGGAGUGGGGGAUAACGUAGCGAAAGUUACGCUAAUACCGCAUACGAUCCAAGGAUGAAAGCAGGGGACCUUCGGGCCUUGUGCUCCUGGAGCGGCCGAUAUCUGAUUAGCUAGUUGGUGGGGUAAAAGCCUACCAAGGCGACGAUCAGUAGCUGGUCUGAGAGGACGACCAGCCACACUGGAACUGAGACACGGUCCAGACUCCUACGGGAGGCAGCAGUGGGGAAUUUGGACAAUGGGGGGCAACCCUGAUCCAGCAAUGCCGCGUGUGUGAAGAAGGCCUUAGGGUUGUAAAGCUCUUUACCCGGGAUGAUAAUGACAGUACCGGGAGAAUAAGCUCCGGCUAACUCCGUGCCAGCAGCCGCGGUAAU